AGGAAGGUAGUGUAGUUAACACCUGCAUUAUUUGACGUUACCUACAGAAGAAGCACCGGCUAACUCCGUGCCAGCAGCCGCGGUAAUACGGAGGGUGCGAGCGUUAAUCGGAAUUACUGGGCGUAAAGCGCAUGCAGGCGGCCUGUUAAGUCAGAUGUGAAAGACCCGGGGCGUUAACCUCGGAAUUGCAUUUGAAACUGGCAGGCUAGAGUCUUGUAGAGGGGGGUAGGAAUUUCAGGUGUAGCGGUGAAAUGCGUAGAGAUCUGAAGGAAUACCAGUGGCGAAGGCGGCCCCCUGGACAAAGACUGACGCUCAGAUGCGAAAGCGUGGGGACGCAAACAGGAUUAGAUACCCCUGGUAG
rnacentral:rRNA from 1 species